AUGCUCAAAAUUCUCCAAGCCAGGCUUCAGCAAUAUGUGAACCAUGAACUCCCUAAUAUUCAAGCUGGUUUUAGAAAAGGCAGAGGAACCAGAGAUCAAAUUGCCAACAUCUGCUGGAUCAUCAAAAAAGUAAGAGAGUUCCAGAAACACAUCUAUUUCUGCUUUAUUAACUAUGCCAAAGCCUUUGACUGUGUGAAUCACAAUAAACUGUGGAAAAUUCUGAAAGAGAUGGGAAUACCAGACCACCUAACCUGCCUCUUGAGAAAUCUGUAUGCAGGUCAGGAAGCAGCAGUUAGAACUGGACAGGGAACAACAGACUUGCUCCAAAUAGGAAAAGGAGUAUGUAAAGGCUGUAUAUUGUCACCCUGCUUAUUUAACUUAUAUGCAGAGUACAUCAUGAGAAACGCUGGGCUGGAAGAAGCACAAGCUGGAAUCAAGAUUGCCGAGAGAAAUAUCAAUAACCUCAGAUAUGCAGAUGACACCACCCUUAUGGCAGAAAGUGAAGAGCUAGAAAGCCUCUUGAUGAAAGUGAAAGAGGAGAGCAAAAAAGUUGGCUUAAAGCUCAACAUUCAGAAAAAGAAGAUCUUGCCAUCUGGUCCCAUCACUUCAUGGGAAAUAGAUGGGGAAACAGUGGAAACAGUGUCAGACUUUAUUUUUUUGGGCUCCAAAAUCACUGCAGAUGGUGACUGCAGCCAUGAAAUUAAAAUACAUUUACUCUUUGGAAGAAAAUUUAUGACCAACCUAGAUAGUAUAUUCAAAAGCCGAGACAUUACUUUGCCGACUAAGGUCCGUGUAGUCAAGGCUAUGGUUUUUCCUGUGGUCAUGUAUGGAUGUGAGAGUUGGACUGUGAAGAAGGCUGAGCGCCAAAGAAUUGAUGGUUUUGAACUGUGGUGUUGGAGAAGACUCUUGAGAGUUCCUUGGACUGCAAGGAGAUCCAACCAGUCCAUUCUGAAGGGGAUCAACCCUGGGAUUUCUUUGGAAGGAAUGAUGCUAAAGCUGAAGCUCCAGUACUUUGGCCACCUCAUGCGAAGAGUUGAUUCAUUGGAAAGGACUCUGAUGCUGGGAGAUUUUGGGGGCAGGAGGAGAAGGGGACGACCGAGGAUGAGAUGGCUGGAUGGCAUCACGGACUCGAUGGACGUGAGUCUGAGUGAACUCCGGGAGAUGGUGAUGGACAGGGAGACCUGGCCUUCUGCGAUUCAUGGGGUCGCAAAGAGUCGGACAUGA
rnacentral:lncRNA from 1 species